GGGUCAGUAGGUUGGUCGUGCCACCGGUACGUACUGGUCUCACUGAUUCCUCCUUCCUGAAGAACCGUAAUGCCAUUAAUUUGGUGGUGCGGGGAAACAGGACUGUUACUUUGAAAAAAUUAGAGUGUUUAAAGCAAGCUAACGCGUGAAUACAUUAGCAUGGAAUAAUGAAAUAGGACGAUCGAUCCUAUUUUGUUGGUUUCUAGGAUUGACGUA
rnacentral:rRNA from 1 species